rnacentral:rRNA from 1 species
ACGGGAGGCAGCAGUGGGGAAUAUUGGGCAAUGGGCGCAAGCCUGACCCAGCAACGCCGCGUGAGGGAUGAAGGCCUUCGGGUUGUAAACCUCUGUCCUUGGUGACGAUGAAAGUGACGGUAGCCAAGGAGGAAGCCCCGGCUAACUACGUGCCAGCAGCCGCGGUAAUACGUAGGGGGCGAGCGUUGUCCGGAAUUACUGGGCGUAAAGGGUGCGUAGGUGGCACUUUAAGUUGGAUGUGAAAUACCCGGGCUUAACUUGGGGGCUGCAUCCAAUACUGGAGAGCUAGAGUACAGGAGAGGAAAGCGGAAUUCCUAGUGUAGCGGUGAAAUGCGUAGAUAUUAGGAGGAACACCAGUGGCGAAGGCGGCUUACUGGACGAUAACUGACGCUGAGGCUCGAAAGCGUGGGGAGCAAACAGGAUUAGAUACCCUGGUA